ACACAGGUCUCAACAACUACACGCUUUCUUUUUCCAGUUCACUCCAGAAGGCCAAAGUCGGGGAGAAAUUGCAACUAUCUGUUCAUUUACCCUCUUUGGGUUCUCUGAUUGUGAACACCCUGAGGAGAAGAACUAAAAGAAAUUGAGGGCGAGUGAUUGUGUGAUUAACGCCCAAUCAGUGAUCUCUUCUUUGAGUUCCAACCGGGUUGCUCCGGUUCCCCGCACUCAACCCUCCAUUGUCAAUUGGUUGUUGCUAUUGAAUUCCCAACAAAAUGGCGACUGGACUCAGUGAAGAGAAAAUGAAAGACAUUGGCCUUGAGCCAGAUCAGGUCGAAGUGCUGAUGAAAUGCUUCAAUGGGUUCUGCAAAGAGGGUGUGGUGAAGGCCGAGACCGUGGCCGAGAUUCUCCAGAUGAUGGGCCUUCGCGUGAAGCAAUCGUCUCUUAAAGAGAUCAUUGAUGAAGUCGACGAGGAUGGUUCCGGAGAGCUUGAAUUCGAAGAGUUUUGUAUUUUGGCCGCUCGCUUCUUGAUUGAAGAAGAUGAGGAACAAAUGAGGCGAGAAUUGAAAGAGGCCUUCAGGUUCUAUGACAAAGAAGGUGUGGGUUAUUUAACCAUUGAGACCCUGAAAGGUAUUCUCCUGGAGCUUGAGCCCAAACUCGAGGAUGCCCAACUCAUGGAAAUCGUGGACGAGGUCGACGAGGACGGAUCGGGAACCAUCGACUUUGAUGAGUUCAUGGAAAUGAUGAUUGGAUAAAGUUGGGGUAAAUAUUUGGUAGGCCUACCAACCAACUCUGUCAAUAGCCUCUAAAGGUUGCAAACCAGACUUUUGGCCAAGUUGAAAAAUGCAUGAGUUCAUGAACAUGAUGAUGGGAUGAUCUAAUAAAACAGCUCUUUGUACAAACAUUCCUUCAUCACACCACCAAUCGUCAAAAAAACAAUGUCCUCCGUCUUUGCCGAGCACGCAAUGAGAUCGGAACGAAUCGAUUCUUGUAUUGAAGGUUCAGCAAUCUGUUAUGUCCAGCUUGUCUCUCUCUUGUAUGCUUUGAUGCUCAAUAAUGUUUUUCUUACCUUGGUGUCUGAUCAAAAUAUGAAAAUGAAAUAAACCUCUGUGAAACAAAUCAUAAA